rnacentral:rRNA from 1 species
UACGUAGGGGGCGAGCGUUGUCCGGAAUUAUUGGGCGUAAAGAGCGCGUAGGCGGCUCCUUAAGUCAGGUGUUAAAGGCAUUGGCUCAACCAAUGUACGCACCUGAAACUGGGGAGCUUGAGUGCAGGAGAGGAGAGUGGAAUUCCCGGUGUAGCGGUGGAAUGCGUAGAGAUCGGGAGGAACACCAGUGGCGAAGGCGGCUCUCUGGCCUGUGACUGACGCUGAGGCGCGAAAGCGUGGGGAGCGAACAGGAUUAGAUACCCUGGUAGUCCACGCCGUAAACGAUGAGUGCUAGGUGUUGGGGGACUUGCUCCCUCAGUGCCGAAGGAAACCCAAUAAGCACUCCGCCUGGGGAGUACGGCCGCAAGGCUGAA